rnacentral:rRNA from 1 species
UGGGNGNGUNCCUNGAUAGUGGGGGAUAGCUCGGGGNAACUCGAAUUAAUACCGCAUAUGACCUACGGGAGAAAGGGGGCAACUUGUUGCUCUCGCUAUUAGAUGAGCCUAAGUCGGAUUAGCUAGAUGGUGGGGUAAAGGCCUACCAUGGCGACGAUCUGUAGCUGGUCUGAGAGGAUGAUCAGCCACACCGGGACUGAGACACGGCCCGGACUCCUACGGGAGGCAGCAGUGGGGAAUAUUGGACAAUGGGGGAAACCCUGAUCCAGCCAUGCCGCGUGUGUGAAGAAGGCCUUUUGGUUGUAAAGCACUUUAAGCAGUGAAGAAGACUCUUCGGUUAAUACCCGGAGACGAUGACAUUAGCUGCAGAAUAAGCACCGGCUAACUCUGUGCCAGCAGCCGCGGUAAUACAGAGGGUGCAAGCGUUAAUCGGAAUUACUGGGCGUAAAGCGAGCGUAGGUGGCUUGAUAAGUCAGAUGUGAAAUCCCCGGGCUUAACCUGGGAACUGCAUCUGAUACUGUCAGGCUAGAGUAGGUGAGAGGAAGGUAGAAUUCCAGGUGUAGCGGUGAAAUGCGUAGAGAUCUGGAGGAAUACCGAUGGCGAAGGCAGCCUUCUGGCAUCAUACUGACACUGAGGCUCGAAAGCGUGGGUAGCAAACAGGAUUAGAUACCCUGGUAGUCCACGCCGUAAACGAUGUCUACUAGUCGUUGGGUCCCUUGAGGACUUAGUGACGCAGCUAACGCAAUAAGUAGACCGCCUGGGGAGUACGGCCGCAAGGUUAAAACUCAAAUGAAUUGACGGGGGCCCGCACAAGCGGUGGAGCAUGUGGUUUAAUUCGAUGCAACGCGAAGAACCUUACCUGGUCUUGACAUAUCUAGAAUCCUGCAGAGAUGCGGGAGUGCCUUCGGGAAUUAGAAUACAGGUGCUGCAUGGCUGUCGUCAGCUCGUGUCGUGAGAUGUUGGGUUAAGUCCCGCAACGAGCGCAACCCUUGUCCUUAGUUACCAGCGGGUUAAGCCGGGAACUCUAAGGAUACUGCCAGUGACAAACUGGAGGAAGGCGGGGACGACGUCAAGUCAUCAUGGCCCUUACGACCAGGGCUACACACGUGCUACAAUGGUAGGUACAGAGGGCAGCUACACAGCGAUGUGAUGCGAAUCUCAAAAAGCCUAUCGUAGUCC